UUUGCUUGCCGAGUACAUUAAAUCGAGAAAGCUAAACAAUGUUUCGUGUUUAAUGACAGUAAACACUUUUCUUUCAUCAUUAUGAUAUGAGAUGUGGGAGGUGUGUACAAGCUGGUUUGGUUAUUCUGGAGUUACACGCCCCCCACUCCUCCUGCUCCCUGACACAUAAACGGGAAAUACACCGGCAGUCAGCUGGCAGAGCAGAAAACGUUCAAGAUGGGGAUGGUGCACGCUGGGAAUGCGGUGUCGGCAGCCAUGGGGAUAAGGGACACCAAAGGAUUACACGGCCAGCUGCACCGUCACCUGCCUGCCAGAAACAGAAGAAAAAACAGGAGACAAAGGAAUGCCUCCUUCCCAGAUCGCUGUCAUUGUAGCAGCUGUCCUGCUGCUGGUCGGCCUCGUGUGCUUCCUGUGCUACAAAUAUAGACUUAGGAGUAAAUGCUGUGGCCAGACUGGAGGCAUCUACCCUCAUGUGAUGUUUAAGAAGGCUCCGCAACCAAAAGCUGAUGUGGAGACAGGAGGAGGAUAGAGCAGAUUAGAGGAGCUUCUCGGUGCACGAUAAUUCUAUAUCCAUGCUUUCUCAAUCCUUUCCGCUGCAUUACUUAAGUAGCAGUAUGCUUGCAUUAUUAUAUCAUCUCUGCGGGUUUGCUUUUCUAUAUUUUGCCGGGCGGCGUUUUGGGACAGGACAGUUACAAAAUGAAAUCCAUGUUACAGGAUAUUAGAGACUUGAUGUGCCAAACUCUAAUGUAAGAGUUCCUCCUUCCACACUAUUCAAUUCAAUUUUAUUUAUAUGAAACCAAAUGACAACAGUUUAAGGCUCUUCUGUGGCCUCAUCAAUGCUAAAAAACGCUGUGACUGAUAAAAGGUCAUUGAUUUCUUCCCACACAGACAAACCUCAGCUCAGUGUUAGAAACUGUAUCCUGUUACAGUGUUGAUCCCAUUGUUGAUUUUAAUUCCACUUGCCAGUUAGAUGUGAGGAAUUGGUGCACAGGUGAAAAGUUCUCUGGUAAAUUGUUAAUGGACUGAUUCUUAUAUAGCGCUUUUCUACUCUCCUGGAGUACUCAAAGCGCUAUGGGCUGUGGAAGCUCACAGACUCUUUGCUGCAAUAAUGCUCGUAUAAUAUAAUAUAAUAUAAUAUAAUAUAAUAUAAUAUAAUAUAAUAUAAUAUAAUAUCAUAUAAUAUCAUAUAAUAUAAUAUAAUAUAAUAUAAUAUAAUAUAAUAUAAUAUAAUAUAAUAAUGACCCCCCUACUUCCAGCCAGGACCCCCAUGUUAGUGUUAAUGAUGUAAACCAGCUGUGGAAGCUCGGAGACUCGUACUGCAGCACCAGGGCGUGCACUUUCAGUGUCCUAUAGCAUUACAGCACAUAGUAUAUAUGCAGAGCAUACAACGCUAUAAAUAACUUAUUAUCUAAAUGCUGCAAAUAUUUUUAUAAUGUGGAUCUUUCUUUAUUUUUGCUUACUUAUUUAUACUGUUUUCUUAUUACAUAACGUAAAUGUCAUAAAUUGAAAUGAUUCCUCCUGUAACAUGUACUCUGUACCUGCAUGCUCAGUCACUGAAUGUUUUUGUCCCAGAUUAUCCUUCUUGCUCUGUUUUUCUGCCUUAUGUUCCCCUAUUAUGCUGAAAAUGGAUUAAAAACCUCCGAUU
ensembl:lncRNA